rnacentral:piRNA from 1 species
UCCAACUUUUCCUGUGGCGAUUGAUGUGAC